rnacentral:lncRNA from 1 species
UAUUUAUUAAUAUCUUUUAUUGCAUAUUUAUUUAUAAAAAAAAAUAAAAAUACAAAAUACAUAAAAGCACUUAAAAGUAGAAAAAUUCAAGUUUAUUAAAUGCUAAAUUCAUAUACUAAUAAAUACACAGAAAAAUAUUUUUGUCCCUAUUAAGCCAUCCUUAGUUCACACAAAAGAUAGAAUGUAGAAUAGAAAAACAAAAAUUCUAUAAUAGAAGAGAAAGUUUUAAAAAUUAUAUUAUAUGAUGUACAGCACAAUAACAAGGACAGGUGCUGAAAUCAGGCAAAAAAAUCUAUCAGUAGUAUAUAGUACAUGUGUAAAUAAAAGCUAAAUAUUAAUGAUACAUCCUAAGGCAUUUCUUACAUACCACUGUCACAAGAUCAGAAGCAUCUCAAAAGUGUUCUCAUUGAUUAUUGAUUACUGAUGCCUGUUUCCUUCUUUCUUUCAUAUAUGCACAAUUACUUGGAUGUCACAUCAUGUAAGCACUCAGCAAUGCUUGCUUCUCUGGAGUCAGUGAUAUGUUUGAAAACUUUCACCUGAGUCAUUUUAUUUUGAAAUUUAUAUCAUAAAAGCUUUUAGAUAAUGUGAUACUAAGUUUCACAAUUGCUAUAUCACAUUUAUGCUCUUUGACUUUCUUCUGUAGUGAUUUAGUGGUUCUAUAUACAUAUUCUUCUCUCUUAUUGGUGGAUCUAUUUUUUGCUGGUAAAAUGUAAACAGCUCUUCUCAUAUUUAUAAAAGCUGGAUCUUUGUCAUUCCUAAACUGUGAAAAAGCCACUAUAAUGCUAGUUUUCUUCUUUACACUUCUGGCUAGCUUUGCAAGAUUCAGAUUGUACCUAACUGGAAUGCAUCCAUUCAAAUUCUGGGGAUCGUCCAUUGCUGCCUGCAUUGUACAGCAUAUUGAUGUACCAUGUCUAUAUUAUAUUAAUAUAGACUUAAAUACAUUAUACAUAUAUCUAAACAUAAAGCAAUGUCUCGUACCUUGUGCAAUUGUAUUAUUAAACUCUUGUUGUUUGGAAAUCAAAUAUUCUAAGCCAGAUUAAUCCUUAAUAUAAUAAUUUAGAAUUAAAUUGUAAUUUUAAAA